rnacentral:rRNA from 1 species
CCCAGACUCCUACGGGAGGCAGCAGUGGGGAAUCUUCCGCAAUGGGCGAAAGCCUGACGGAGCAACGCCGCGUGAUCGAAUGAAGGCCUUCGGGUUGUAAAGAUCUGUUGACAGGGACGAAUAAGCCAUGCGAAUAGUUUGGUGUAUGACGGUACCUGUUUAGAAAGCUCCGGCUAACUACGUGCCAGCAGCCGCGGUAAUACGUAGGGAGCAAGCGUUGUCCGGAAUUACUGGGCGUAAAGGGCGCGUAGGUGGGUGCUUAAGUCAGGUGUGAAAACUCUGGGCUCAACCUGGAGACUGCACUUGAACCUGGGUAUCUUGAGGGCAGGAGAGGAAAGUGGAAUUCCUAGUGUAGCGGUGAAAUGCGUAGAUAUUAGGAGGAACACCAGUGGCGAAGGCGGCUUACUGGACUGUAACUGACGUUGAGGCUCGAAAGCGUGGGGAGCAAACAGGAUUAGAUACCCGAGUA